UCCCUGGUGGCUCACAUGGUAAAGAAUCUGGUUGCAAUGCAGGAGAUCCAGGUUUGAACCCUGGCUUGUGAA
rnacentral:tRNA from 1 species